AUUUCAGUUGUAAACACUUGCUGUUUCUUUUUGUUUCUAUUAGUUACAAAACUUUUACACUCUCCUUCCAAAUUUUAAGAGACCAUUUGCUAAUCAACAGAAUAUCAACCAUAAAUGCUGACGGCUUAAUUUUUCCACCAGAAAAAGUUUUGAGAUUUUUCCAAGAUAUGCUGUGCUCAUCCCGUCUGAGGAUUCUCCUAAGAGCUGAUGCCCACACCCUACCCCACCCAAAUCGGUACAAUUUUCAUCUGAUUACAGCAUUGGCAGCUUGUAUUCGCCAACUGGAAAAAGUGGUAAAUGCUUUUAUUAAGGGAUUUGAUUAUUGAUUGUUGAUCCCUUUGUUUGUUAGCUUUAAAAAAGGGAAGUCUGGUCAU